rnacentral:tRNA from 1 species
GCCUGGGUGGCUCAGUCGGUUGAGCGAAUGACUCUUGAUUUCGGCUCAGGUCACGAUCUCACUGUUUGUGGGUUCGAGCCCCACGUCAGGCU